rnacentral:rRNA from 1 species
UACGUAGGGACCGAGCGUUGUCCGGAAUCAUUGGGCGUAAAGAGCUCGUAGGCGGCUUGUCGCGUCGUUCGUGAAAACCUGCAGCUCAACUGCAGGCUUGCGGUCGAUACGGGCAGGCUGGAGUUCGGUAGGGGAGACUGGAAUUCCUGGUGUAGCGGUGAAAUGCGCAGAUAUCAGGAGGAACACCGGUGGCGAAGGCGGGUCUCUGGGCCGAUACUGACGCUGAGGAGCGAAAGCGUGGGGAGCGAACAGG